CCAGAGCUUGCUCUGGUGAAAGUGGCGCACGGGUGAGUAACGCGUGGAUAACCUGCCCUGGUAUCUGGGAUAACAUCUCGAAAGGGGUGCUAAUACCGGAUAAGCCUACGGACUCUUCGGAGUCUGCAGGAAAAGGUGGCCUCUAUUUAUAAGCUACCGUAUCAGGAUGAGUCCGCGUACCAUUAGCUAGUUGGUGGGGUAAUGGCCUACCMAGGCGACGAUGGUUAGCUGGUCUGAGAGGAUGAUCAGCCACACUGGAACUGAGACACGGUCCAGACUCCUACGGGAGGCAGCAGUGGGGAAUUUUGCGCAAUGGGGGAAACCCUGACGCAGCAACGCCGCGUGAGUGAUGAAGGCUUUCGGGUCGUAAAGCUCUGUCAGAGGGGAAGAAAUGAGUCUGGCUAAUAUCCAGAUUUCUUGACGGUACCCUCAAAGGAAGCACCGGCUAACUCCGUGCCAGCAGCCGCGGUAAUAC
rnacentral:rRNA from 1 species